rnacentral:rRNA from 1 species
ACAGGGGUAUCUAAUCCCUUUCGCUCCCCUAGCUUUCGUCCCUCAGUGUCAGUUGCGGCCUAGCAGAGCGCUUUCGCCACCGGUGUUCUUCCCAAUAUCUACGCAUUUCACCGCUACANNGGGAAUUCCCUCUGCCCCUWCCUGCACUCWAGCCUGUCAUAGUUUCCACUGCCGAUGCCRSGAGUUAAGCYCCAGUGGGCUUUGACAGCAGACUUGAYAAAGCCACCURCGGACGCUUUACGCCCAAUAAWUCCGGAUAACGCUUGCAUCCUCCGUAUUACCGCGGCUGCUGGCACGGAGUUAGCCGAUGCUGAUUCGUCAGGUACCGUCAUUGUGUUCUUCCCUGACAAAAGAGGUUUACGACCCAAGAGCCUUCCUCCCUCACGCGGUAUUGCUCCGUCAGGCUUUCGCCCAUUGCGGAAAAUUCCCCACUGCUGCCUCCCGUAGGAGUCUGGGCCGUGUCUCAGUCCCAGUGUGGCUGAUCGUCCUCUCAGACCAGCUACUGAUCGCUGCCUUGGUAGGCUCUUACCCCACCAACUAGCUAAUCAGACGCGAGCUCCUCUUUUGGCAAUAAAUCUUUUACCCGUAGGCACAUCCGGUAUUAGCCACCGUUUCCAGUGGUUGUCCCCGACCAAAAGGCAGAUUCUCACGCGUUACUCACCCGUCCGCCACUCACCCCGAAAGGUGCGUUCGACUAGCAUGUGUUAGGCACC